UACAGAGGUCUCAAGCGUUGUUCGGAUUCAUUGGGCGUAAAGGGUGCGUAGGCGGCGCGGUAAGUCGGGUGUGAAAUCUCGGAGCUUAACUCCGAAACUGCAUUCGAUACUGCCGUGCUUGAGGACUGGAGAGGAGACUGGAAUUUACGGUGUAGCAGUGAAAUGCGUAGAUAUCGUAAGGAAGACCAGUGGCGAAGGCGAGUCUCUGGACAGCAACUGACGCUGAGGCACGAAGGCCAGGGGAGCAAACGGG
rnacentral:rRNA from 1 species